rnacentral:pre_miRNA from 1 species
CAAAGUGCUGUUCGUGCAGGUAGUGCAUUGCCUGACCUACUGCUGAGCUAGCACUUCCCGA